rnacentral:misc_RNA from 1 species
GGUCAUGUGUACCUAGCGAGCCACGUGAGCUCUAGUUAUUUAGAAGCCAAGUGUGCUUAUCGAUAGAGGUCAUGUGUACCUAGCGAGCCAUGUGAGCUCUAGUUAUUUAGGAAGCCAAGUGUGCUUAUCAACAGAGGUCAUGUGUACCUAGCGAGCCAUGUGAGCUCUAAUUAUUUAGAAGCCAAGUGUGCUUAUCGAUAUAUCAAUAACAAGCUAAAUCUAUCAAAUUAAAUGAAAUCUUAGGAGGAUUUAUGUGUAUAGAAAAAUAUUUUACGUACAUCUUUUAUUUAGUUUUUAUUUUAAUGAUAU